CUCCUGUAUAUGAGUAGAUGGGGAGUAGAUGGAAAAAAUAAAGUAGGGACAGAGAUUGAAGAAGAUUGCAAAGUGCAAUAUGUUCUGAAGCAAUCCCUCCCUCUUGUUCUUGCUACCGUACAUUUGUUUGGUAGGACUCGGCAUCCACUCGGUGUUAUGUUGUACCUCUCGGCAUCCAGUCGAAGACUCUCCUAAGUGUUGAAGCAAUGACUCUGCUUGCAUUUGGGUUGGGGGCUCAUCGUCGACUCUCGAUGGAGCACUUGACAACUCGUUACUCUACUCGGUUCAUGCAACCACCAACGGUAUCUGAAAAGAGCUCAGAAAAUCGGCUUACAAUAGCCGAUAGGUUGAGAUUAUCUGCUCAAGCCACUAUAACAAUAAGUCACCCUGUGUAUCUGGCACAAACUCAAAAGCGUGAAACAGAACUUCUGAAAUGAUCACAAAGAUUGUAACAUGUUUACAUCCAACAAGAACUGUUGAAUCUAGGAAGAUGACAAAAGAUCUAGCACUUCUUAUUCAUGGAUCCUGCAUCACUUGAGAAAAGUAUCUGAACACCGAAGAGUUGAUUCAUGCGGUGGCAUCUGAGCUGAAAGCUAGGCUUUCUUCGUAAAUCCCUUUGCGGCCAGCACAGUUAUUCACUGUGCCAUGAGGCUGAAUUUGCAAGUUGCUGAAGCUGGGAGUUGGGGAAGGAUGUUGAUUCGAGACGGGCAUCUUGACGUAGGAUUUCUGGUCACAAUCUUCUUUUGAGGUUGAAGCUGUCAGGAGGUUCCAGUCGCUAGUCCCCACCCUGAGUCGCGACAGUUUUCUACCUUUGGACUUGUGGUUUCCAUGUUAUAUUUUUAUAUAUUUGUGAUGUAUAACUGUACUCGUGGAUUUUUAUCGAGUUUUGGUCUACUGCCUUUGUUUUCCACUGCGUUGGAUUUUUGUUGUGGGUUUAAGUUUUCCGUCGUAUUAGUGGAAUAGGUUUACUUAAAUAAACUGUGUGGUUGUGUCAGCUAGAGGCUGAGUUAAU